CAUAUAUAAAUAUAUAAGAGUGCAGAAGAAGCUCGGCCCAAAUGAGUGGUCUUCCAUAAGUUUUCUUUAACUUUGCUAAUGAGUAGAUUUUAGUCAGACAUAUUUGAGGUUUAUGAGUGAUCCUGAAGAAGUAAAUGAUCCAAGUCUGUGUUAUGAACUUCCUAUUUUUGGUGAUUUUUCUUUGCUAACAUUAGUUACUUUAUGGACGUCCUAUUAAAUGCCAACUGAUUUUCUUUGUAUUCAGCAUGGAGAAAAGUAAAAUCUAAAAAGAGAAUGGUGAUGAGUUCUUUUGUGCUAUAAUACUCAAUGUAGAGAAUGACGUUGAGCCUAUUUUGGCCUUGACCAACCUGCUUCCUGGAUUAAGUCUUUGAUCU
rnacentral:lncRNA from 1 species